ensembl:lncRNA
UGACCUCAGAUGUUGAACUCCCUCUAGUGGAGAAUUAAAAAAUGGGUAAAUAUUUUUCAGACUGAUUGAUUGGUCUGGCUGGGGUCCCUACAGUAUGCUUGAUCUUUCAGCAAUGAUCUUUCAGCAAGACAACAGAGAGGAGGCUUGAUGAGGUUGACUGACACAAGGGUGUGUUCAAAGGAGGAGAUCAGAUCCUCUUUCUGAACACUCCAGCUACAGUCCUUCUCCUCCUGUCUGCUCAUCAAAGCCAAACAAGCCUUGGAGAGAGAGAGAAGGAUUCAAAGAGAAUACUUGUUCCAGAGGAUUCAGAGGAAGAAUUUGAGCAAAAAAGAAGUUGCCCAACACUACAAACUUCAUAUACUUUUUGGAGGACAGAAGGGGAGGAGAAAGGUUGAAUCAAGCUGCUUUAGUCACUCUGUCCUUGUCAAAUGAGCCAGAAUAUCAUACUAUAUUUGCCUAGUUAAAUCCACUGGCUAUUUUACAUAGCUUUUACAUUAAUCUCGGCAACCAGAACCAUAUCAG